rnacentral:rRNA from 1 species
CCUACGGGAGGCAGCAGUGGGGAAUAUUGCACAAUGGGCGAAAGCCUGAUGCAGCGACGCCGCGUGAGGGAUGAAGGUCUUCGGAUUGUAAACCUCUUUCAGUAGGGACGAAGCGAAAGUGACGGUACCUAAAGAAGAAGCACCGGCUAACUACGUGCCAGCAGCCGCGGUAAUACGUAGGGUGCAAGCGUUGUCCGGAUUUAUUGGGCGUAAAGAGCUCGUAGGCGGUUAGACACGUCGGAUGUGAAAACUGGUGGCUCAACCACCAGCCUGCAUUCGAUACGGUCUGACUUGAAUGUGGUAGGGGUAACUGGAAUUCCUGGUGUAGCGGUGAAAUGCGCAGAUAUCAGGAGGAACACCGAUGGCGAAGGCAGGUUACUGGGCCACUAUUGACGCUGAGGAGCGAAAGCGUGGGGAGCAAACAGGAUUAGAUACCCUGGUAGUCCACGCCGUAAACGGUGGGCACUAGAUGUGGAGACCUUUCCAUGGUUUCUGCGUCGCAGCUAACGCAUUAAGUGCCCCGCCUGGGGAGUACGGCCGCAAGGCUAAAACUCAAAGGAAUUGACGG